UGGGAAUUUUGGACAAUGGGGCAACCUGAUCCAGCAAUGCCGCGUGUGUGAAGAAGGCCUUCGGGUUGUAAAGCACUUUUGUCCGGAAAGAAAACGCCGUGGUUAAUACCCGUGGCGGAUGACGGUACCGGAAGAAUAAGCACCGGCUAACUACGUGCCAGCAGCCGCGGUAAUACGUAGGGUGCAAGCGUUAAUCGGAAUUACUGGGCGUAAAGCGUGCGCAGGCGGUCCGCUAAGACAGAUGUGAAAUCCCCGGGCUUAACCUGGGAACUGCAUUUGUAACUGGCGGGCUAGAGUAUGGCAGAGGGGGGUAGAAUUCCACGUGUAGCAGUGAAAUGCGUAGAGAUGUGGAGGAAUACCGAUGGCGAAGGCAGCCCCCUGGGCCAAUACUGACGCUCAUGCACGAAAGCGUGGGGGAGCAAACAGGAUUAGAUACCCUGUAGUCCACGCCCUAAACGAUGUCAACUAGUUGUCGGGUCUUCAUUGACUUGGUAACGUAGCUAACGCGUGAAGUUGACCGCCU
rnacentral:rRNA from 1 species